rnacentral:rRNA from 1 species
GACGUAGGGUGCGAGCGUUGUCCGGAUUUAUUGGGCGUAAAGAGCUCGUAGGCGGUCUGUCGCGUCGAUCGUGAAAACCUGGGGCUUAACCCUGAGCUUGCGGUCGAUACGGGCAUGACUGGAGUUCGGCAGGGGAGACUGGAAUUCCUGGUGUAGCGGUGAAAUGCGCAGAUAUCAGGAGGAACACCGGUGGCGAAGGCGGGUCUCUGGGCCGAUACUGACGCUGAGGAGCGAAAGCGUGGGGAGCGAACAGG